CUUUGAAAUAAUCAUUAAAACUAUACAUUUAACAAGAUCAGAGUCAUAUGGUGUGCAUCUGCCAGUACAGUUAACCUGACCAUGUGGCAGAAAGCCAGAUAUGCAAAGAAAAACAUGGGGGAAUGGAUCAAGAAUGGUAAAUUGACAUAUUAUUAGAAAAGAAUUUAAAUGAAAAUUUAAGAUGUUUUGUGUCAAAUAAAUGAAUGAGAGUCAUCGUA
rnacentral:lncRNA from 1 species